CAGGAGUCUUGGCGGAGAAGGCAAUGGCAACCUACUCCAGUACUCUUGCUUGGAAAAUCCCAUGGACGGAGGAGCCUGGUAGGCUGCAGUCCAUGGGGUUGCUAAGAGUCAGGCACGACUGAGCGACUUCACUUUCAUUUUCACUUUUAUGCAUUGGAGAAGGAAAUGGCAACCCACUCCAGUAUUCUUGCCUGGAGAAUCCCAGGGACAGAGGAGCCUAGUGGGCUGCCGUCUAUGGGGUCGCACAGAGUUGGACACGAUUGAACCGACUUAGCAGCAGCAGCAGCAGGAGUCUUGGAGUUUAAAUGGGAUGCUUCUUUAGAGUGUGAGUGUUAUGUGAAGUGUAAACAGGAGAGGAACAAGGGGUCAGCUUCAAGAAACACAGAGUUGAAGAGGGGAGAUUUCUUCUUGCCAAAGGUGGUCCCAGUAACUACAGCACCUUCACUAAAUGGGCCUGAUUGAGGACCUGCCUGCUCAUCCUUGCAGCCAAGAUGCAGGCCUGGCAGAGCCAGUCUCCUGAUGACUCAUCGUCCCUUCAGAGGUUUCCUGGACCCCUACUCAAGAAAACACUGGGCUGUGCCUCUCAAGUACAGCGAUGAACAGGUGUUCUUUGGCAGGUGUUUCCAUGACCUGAGGGUGUUUCUGAGCUGUGGAGGACUCUCCCUGUCAGCUCACAAGAGACCUGCACAGCUUCCCUGUACUCCCCAACCCUCUGCCGAGGCUGAGAAGUUAUUAGGAGUCCGUGGGCCCCAGUUCUCUUCAACCUUGUCCCAGCAAGAGGCUCCAGACCAGGUGCAUGGGACCACCAGCUUCCGUUCCUGCAAUCCAUUCCCAGGGUCCCUAACCCAGGCAGUGUUCAGUGAAUCCCUGCCAGAAGCAGGCGGAAACGCCUGUUCUAUAUUUUAUUUAGCCACUAAUUGCCUGCAUUUAAAAGGCAUCACAGUGCCACAGUCGUCCUCUCUUUCAUGCCCCGAUGCGUGUUUCUGCAUGAAGGGACACUGGGGCAAGGGAACCAGUGAGCGAGGGGCCACGGUCUCCCCAAUGACAGCUCUAAAAGCCUGA
rnacentral:lncRNA from 1 species